rnacentral:rRNA from 1 species
AGAGUUUGAUCCUGGCUCAGAUUGAACGCUGGCGGAAUGCUUACACAUGCAAGUCGAACGGCAGCACGGGUGCUUGCACCUGGUGGCGAGUGGCGAACGGGUGAGUAAUGCGUCGGAACGUACCGAGUAAUGGGGGAUAACGCAGCGAAAGUUGUGCUAAUACCGCAUACGCCCUGAGGGGGAAAGUGGGGGACCGCAAGGCCUCACGUUAUUCGAGCGGCCGACGUCUGAUUAGCUAGUUGGUGGGGUAAAGGCCUACCAGGGCGACGAUCAGUAGCGGGUCUGAGAGGAUGAUCCGCCACACUGGGACUGAGACACGGCCCAGACUCCUACGGGAGGCAGCAGUGGGGAAUUUUGGACAAUGGGGGCAACCCUGAUCCAGCCAUUCCGCGUGAGUGAAGAAGGCCUUCGGGUUGUAAAGCUCUUUCAGCAGGAACGAAACGGUACGUUCUAACAUAGUGUGCUAAUGACGGUACCUGCAGAAGAAGCACCGGCUAACUACGUGCCAGCAGCCGCGGUAAUACGUAGGGUGCGAGCGUUAAUCGGAAUUACUGGGCGUAAAGCGUGCGCAGGCGGAUUGUUAAGCAAGAUGUGAAAUCCCCGGGCUUAACCUGGGAAUGGCAUUUUGAACUGGCAGUCUAGAGUGUGUCAGAGGGGGGUGGAAUUCCACGUGUAGCAGUGAAAUGCGUAGAGAUGUGGAGGAACACCAAUGGCGAAGGCGGCCCCCUGGGAUAACACUGACGCUCAUGUACGAAAGCGUGGGUAGCAAACAGGAUUAGAUACCCUGGUAGUCCACGCCCUAAACGAUGUCAACUGGUUGUUGGGGGAGUGAAAUCCCUUAGUAACGAAGCUAACGCGUGAAGUUGACCGCCUGGGGAGUACGGUCGCAAGAUUAAAACUCAAAGGAAUUGACGGGGACCCGCACAAGCGGUGGAUGAUGUGGAUUAAUUCGAUGCAACGCGAAAAACCUUACCUACCCUUGACAUGUCCGGAAUCCUGAAGAGAUUUGGGAGUGCUCGAAAGAGAACCGGAACACAGGUGCUGCAUGGCUGUCGUCAGCUCGUGUCGUGAGAUGUUGGGUUAAGUCCCGCAACGAGCGCAACCCUUAUCAUUAGUUGCUACGCAAGGGCACUCUAAUGAGACUGCCGGUGACAAACCGGAGGAAGGUGGGGAUGACGUCAAGUCUUCAUGGCCCUUAUGGGUAGGGCUUCACACGUCAUACAAUGGUCGGUACAGAGGG